CUUAACUGACGCUGAUGGACGAAAGCGUGGGGAGCGAACAGGAUUAGAUACCCUGGUAGUCCACGCCGUAAACGAUGCUAACUCGUUUUUGGGCUUUCGGGUUCAGAGACUAAGCGAAAGUGAUAAGUUAGCCACCUGGGGAGUACGUUCGCAAGAAUGAAACUCAAAGGAAUUGACGGGGGCCCGCACAAGCGGUGGAUUAUGUGGUUUAAUUCGAUGAUACGCGAGGAACCUUACCAAGGCUUAAAUGGGAAUUGACAGACGCAGAAAUGUGUUUUUCUUCGGACAAUUUUCAAGGUGCUGCAUGGUUGUCGUCAGCUCGUGCCGUGAGGUGUUAGGUUAAGUCCUGCAACGAGCGCAACCCCUGUCACUAGUUGCCAUCAUUCAGUUGGGGACUCUAGUGAGACUGCCUACGCAAGUAGAGAGGAAGGUGGGGAUGACGUCAAAUCAUCACGGCCCUUACGCCUUGGGCCACACACGUAAUACAAUGGCAGGUACAGAGGGCAGCUACUAUGCGAAUAGAUGCGAAUCUCGAAAGCCUGUCUCAGUUCGGAUUGGAGUCUGCAACUCGACUCUAUGAAGCUGGAAUCGCUAGUAAUCGCGCAUCAGCCAUGGCGCGGUGAAUACGUUCCCGGGCCUUGUACACACCGCCCGUCAAGCCAUGGAAGUUUGGGGUACCUGAAGUCGGUGACCGUAACAGGAGCUGCCUAGGGUAAAACAAGUAACUAGGGCUAAGUCGUAACAAGGUAGCCGUACCGGAAGGUGCGGCUG
rnacentral:rRNA from 1 species